rnacentral:rRNA from 2 species
UACCAGCUGGCUGCAACUGUUUAUUAAAAACACAGCACUGUGCAAACACGAAAGUGGACGUAUACGGUGUGACGCCUGCCCGGUGCCGGAAGGUUAAUUGAUGGGGUCAGCGCAAGCGAAGCUCCUGAUCGAAGCCCCGGUAAACGGCGGCCGUAACUAUAACGGUCCUAAGGUAGCGAAAUUCCUUGUCGGGUAAGUUCCGACCUGCACGAAUGGCGUAAUGAUGGCCAGGCUGUCUCCACCCGAGACUCAGUGAAAUUGAACUCGCUGUGAAGAUGCAGUGUACCCGCGGCAAGACGGAAAGACCCCGUGAACCUUUACUAUAGCUUGACACUGAACAUUGAGCCUUGAUGUGUAGGAUAGGUGGGAGGCUUUGAAGCGUGGACGCCAGUCUGCGUGGAGCCGACCUUGAAAUACCACCCUUUAAUGUUUGAUGUUCUAACGUGGACCCGUAAUCCGGGUUGCGGACAGUGUCUGGUGGGUAGUUUGACUGGGGCGGUCUCCUCCUAAAGAGUAACGGAGGAGCACGAAGGUUGGCUAAUCCUGGUCGGACAUCAGGAGGUUAGUGCAAUGGCAUAAGCCAGCUUGACUGCGAGCGUGACGGCGCGAGCAGGUGCGAAAGCAGGUCAUAGUGAUCCGGUGGUUCUGAAUGGAAGGGCCAUCGCUCAACGGAUAAAAGGUACUCCGGGGAUAACAGGCUGAUACCGCCCAAGAGUUCAUAUCGACGGCGGUGUUUGGCACCUCGAUGUCGGCUCAUCACAUCCUGGGGCUGAAGUAGGUCCCAAGGGUAUGGCUGUUCGCCAUUUAAAGUGGUACGCGAGCUGGGUUUAGAACGUCGUGAGACAGUUCGGUCCCUAUCUGCCGUGGGCGCUGGAAGACUGAGGGGGGCUGCUCCUAGUACGAGAGGACCGGAGUGGACGCAUCACUGGUGUUCGGGUUGUCAUGCCAAUGGCACUGCCCGGUAGCUAAAUGCGGAAAAGAUAAGUGCUGAAAGCAUCUAAGCACGAAACUUGCCCCGAGAUGAGUCUUCCCUGAGACUUUGAGUCUCCUGAAGGAACGUUAAAGACGAUGACGUUGAUAGGCCGGGUGUGUAAGCGCAGCGAUGCGUUGAGCUAACCGGUACUAAUGAACCGUGAGGCUUAACCUUACAACGCCGAAGCUGUU